CUCACUUGUGACUCUGGGCUAGAUGCUUAAACUGCCUCAGUGUCCUCCUCUGUCGAAUGGGGGGGUAAUGACAGGAUCUCUCUCCAUGGGCAGCCGUGAAGAUUUAGAUGAAUCCAAACAUGCGCAGCAUCUAGAGCUUGGCACAUGCUCCCCAGGUCCUGGGCGAGUCCUACCACGGAAGACCAAGAACUUGGAAGCCUCCCCAUCCGCAGGCAGGGGCACUGCCAGCAAGCCACAGGUGGGCACCGCAUGAGCAGGAUGCAAGCUGAGAGCCAUCCUAGCCUGUCGUCCCAAGUGACACGCUGCCCACAGUUGCAGCAAGGCCCUUGCACUCCUGCAACCCUACUCCGGCCUCACCCGCAGGCAUGGUGACAAAGCCCACCGAGCCCCCAGAGGAUGUACAUCUGGAGAGCCCAGCUCUGCAGAGGGCCCGGGGGGCCUGGGGGGGCCCAGUCGGCUGCUCAGCUCACCAUCCAGGGUCCCCGGGGAGCCCGAUGCGCAGGGACCUGCUCCUCCCUCUCCCUCUGGCCUUCUCUCCACUCAUGCUCUAGGUCUCUGUCUCCCUCUCUCAAAUAAAUAAAUAAAAUCUUAAAAAAAAAAAAAAAGCCCAGACGGC